AAUUUCGGACCUGGUACCCACUGGGUACCCGGUUUAAACCAAUUCCAGUUCCGGGUACCCGGUCCAGGAUCCAGACAAACCGGGUACCCGGAACCGGUACUGAGUUAGUUAUAAAAAUUUAGUUUAUUUUUUUUAAAAAACCCAAAAGCCUAAAAGCCCAUUAGCCCAUUUAUCUAUUUUUCACGGUUUUUAGUCCUAUUACUCUAGGGUUUUCUAAUUUUUCCUUUCAGCCUCCAUCUUCUCUAAUUCUCUCUUUUCUCAUUCUCUCCUCAAAAUCUAAUCUUUCCUGAGUUCUUGAUUCUCUCGGUCUUCUCUGAAUCUCUGCCUUCUCUGAAUCUCUGGUACUGGACGCCUUCUCCGAUCAUCAGGUUGCUGUUGGUCUUAUUGUUGGCUGCUGGUGUGCUCAACUGCUGCUGGCCUUAUUGCUAGCUGCUGUUGCUCAACUGCUGCUGCCCUUCUUUUUCUACCCCUUUUGUAAUCUUUGUAUUUUGCUAGCCUCUUUGGUAAUACAAAGUUCUAUUUACCAAAAACAGAAAACAAAAAAUAUUAAUAUAACUAGCCCUUUGAAUAACAAAAAAGAAAACAAAAUAACAUUA